GUGUCAGCAGCCGCGGUAAUACCGGCAGCACGAGUGAUGACCGCUAUUAUAGGGCCUAAAGCGUCCGUAGCUGGCCACGCAAGUUCAUCGGGAAAUCUGCGCGCUUAACGCGCAGGCGUCCGGUGGAAACUGCAUGGCUUGGGACCGGAAGACCAGAGGGGUACGUCCGGGGUAGGAGUGAAAUCCCGUAAUCCUGGACGGACCACCGGUGGCGAAAGCGCCUCUGGAAGACGGAUCCGACGGUGAGGGACGAAAGCUCGGGUCACGAACCGGAUUAGAAACCCCCGUAGUCC
rnacentral:rRNA from 1 species